GUAAAAGUGAUCGAGUUUGGCUUAGUUCCUGCUAGCUGCAUUUGGGUAAACCAAUCUAGGGCUUCUCUACCCUUUCCAUGGAUUGCAAAGCCACUGAUUAUUGCCGUCCAAGCACAGACACAUUUCUUCUCCAACUUACUGAACACUAGUAGGGCCUUUUCCAUUUCACCACAUUUAACAUACAUGUCUAUAAGAACACAACCCAAAAUUUCAUCUAUUUUUAUUUCGUUUUUUUCAACAUAGGUGUGAAUCCACUCGCCUUGCUCCAAUGCACCAAGGCCUGCACAUGCUGAAAGGGAGCAACUGAGAGUUAUACUAUCAGGUUUGAUGCCUGCAACCAGCAUUUGCCGAAGAAGUGACAAAGCUUCUUUGUGCAUGCCUGCCCUAACA
rnacentral:lncRNA from 1 species